UUAAGAGUGCGUAGGCGGCUUCUUAAGUCAGUGGUGAAAGCUUAGCGCUUAACGCUAGAAGUGCCACUGAUACUGGGAAGCUUGAGUCAAGAAGAGGUAAGCAGAAUUCAUAGUGUAGCAGUGAAAUGCUUAGAUACUAUGAGGAAUACCAACAGCGAAGGCAGCUUACUGGUCUUGUACUGACGUUGAGGCACGAAAGCGUGGGUAGCGAACAGGAUUAGAUACCCUGGUAGUCCACGCCGUAAACGAUGAUCACUCGAUGUACACGCUAGUCGUGUGUGUCUAAGCAAAAGCAUUAAGUGAUCCACCUGGGGAGUACGCUCGCAAGAGUGAAACUCAAAGGAAUUGACGGGAGUCCGCACAAGCGGUGGAGCAUGUGGUUUAAUUCGAUAAUACGCGAGGAACCUUACCUGGGCUCGAAUGUCUCUGCUACCUCGAGAAAUCGAGGGUUCCUUCGGGACAGAGUACAAGGUGCUGCAUGGCUGUCGUCAGCUCGUGUCGUGAGAUGUUGGGUUAAGUCCUAUAACGAGCGCAACCCCUUUACUUAGUUGCCAGCACAUCAUGGUGGGAACUCUAAGUAGACUGCCUGCGUAAGUAGGAGGAAGGAGGGGACGAGGUCAAGUCAUCAUGGCCCUUACGCCCAGGGCUACACACGUGCUACAAUGGCGUGUACAGAAGGACGCUACUUGGUAACAAGCGGCAAAUCCUCAAAGCACGUCUCAGUUCGGAUUGAGGUCUGCAACUCGACCUCAUGAAGCUGGAAUCGCUAGUAAUCGCGCAUCAGCAAUGGCGCGGUGAAUACGUUCCCGGACUUUGUACACACCGCCCGUCAAGCCAUGGGAGUUGGUAGGACCUAAAGACAGUGGCCAAUUAAGGAGCUGUUAAGGGUUAGAUCAGCGACUGGGGCUAAGUCGUAACAAGGUAACCAUCUUUCUAGAAAAWCUCGAGCC
rnacentral:rRNA from 1 species